rnacentral:lncRNA from 1 species
CAGCCAGUGCCCCCUCUCCACCGCUGAGCCCAAGUGCCAGGUGGGAGCAGGGUCGUGGCGUCGGAGCCUCCGGGCUGCAGGGGGCGCGGAGCCGGCGGGCUGGCCCAGAAAACGAAUCCUGCGGUGUCGCGUUUCCUGCAACGUGAGCCAGGUCGGGCGGGGUGAAGGGUCUGAGGCCACCGCAGGGACGCAUGGGCUGGAGAGUGGGGCAGGGGACAGCCCCCACCCGGUCACUCAGUCUUUGGCCCGGCCGCCUCACUCUCCCUCACUGAGCUGGGCCUAGUUGGGGGCAGCUGCGACGGGGCGGGAAGCCGCGCUGUCACCCGACCCCGCCUUACGGCCCCUGAAAUCCGAGGCUUGAGCGCGGGUGUCGGUGUCGCUUUCGUGGAUGGCGAUGGUUUCCAGAUGCAGGAGGGAAACGGUGGGGACGCGACCCGGAGCCGGCAGCCAAAUAUGAGAGGCCCCCUCUGCCCACGGUCAGCCCUCUCUCCUCUCGGGCGGGGAUGAAGGUGGGGGCUCAGCUCCCAGCUUAGGGAGAG